UGCAAGUCGAACGGUAACAUUUCUAGCUUGCUAGAAGAUGACGAGUGGCGGACGGGUGAGUAAUGCUUGGGAACUUGCCUUCGCGAGGGGGAUAACAGUUGGAAACGACUGCUAAUACCGCAUAAUGUCUUCGGACCAAACGGGGCUUAGGCUCCGGCGCAAAGAGAGGCCCAAGUGAGAUUAGCUAGUUGGUAAGGUAACGGCUUACCAAGGCGACGAUCUCUAGCUGUUCUGAGAGGAAGAUCAGCCACACUGGGACUGAGACACGGCCCAGACCCCUACGGGAGGCAGCAGUGGGGAAUAUUGCACAAUGGGGGAAACCCUGAUGCAGCCAUGCCGCGUGUGUGAAGAAGGCCUUCGGGUUGUAAAGCACUUUCAGUUGUGAGGAAAAGUUAGUAGUUAAUACCUGCUAACCGUGACGUUAACAACAGAAGAAGCACCGGCUAACUCCGUGCCAGCAGCCGCGGUAAUACGGAGGGUGCGAGCGUUAAUCGGAAUUACUGGGCGUAAAGCGCACGCAGGCGGUUUGUUAAGCUAUAUGUGAAAGCCCCGGGCUC
rnacentral:rRNA from 1 species